GCGGCAUGAAUAUGGCUGACAAACUUAUAGUGGUUGUCGAAUUGUACCAACCACAUCUUAUGUUGCCACCAGAACAAUAUUAAUGUGACUAUGUAGAAAUGGAGAAGGGUCAAAGGUAUUCGAUAUCAUACAUUCACGACUACUACUCCUUCUGUACCAUGGUAUGAUUCUUUUGUAUGUAGUUUGUUACUUGCAGCAUAGACUGUACAUAUGCCAGAAUAUGAUUGGAGAAUUAGUCCCUCACCAAGCUAUACUUCCCAAGUUAGCAAAAUGUUAAUAUGAUGACAAAAGUACAAUCAAUAUUUUGAUGAUAAAGAAUUCCGUGUUGAAUAGUCAAUAAAUAAGCCUUUUAUAGCAUCAAUUUUUAUAUAGAUUAAUUUGGUUCAUGCUUAGGAAUUGUUGACUCACUUAACUCUGUCAUGGAGCCGAGAUGAAAUUAUACAACGACAAAGCAGACAUGUUGACAAAGUACCAAUGUAUACACUAAAAAGGGCAUUUGUUUACCAUGCAUCCUUCCAAUAAUGAUAAUUAUUUUCCAACUUUUACUUGCUUUUUCUUGAGCUAUAGCCUUGCCCUAGAUAGGGGAAAAAGUGUCUAGCUAGCUUUUAUCCCAACAUAAUGAGAAUUUAUGAUUGAUCUACACAUUAUUAGUAUAUGAUUGUUUCCUUACUUCCCAUUCAACAAAUGUAUAUCCUGAUUGUUUGGAGUGGCCAUGCAGUCCCCUCCUUAUGUUUCCAGCAAAGAAAAGAUGCUCGAAACAUUGCAGUUUCUUGGUUAUUAGGCGACCCACCACCGCCAGAGAACGGAGACUUAGACUGGAACCAACCAUCUGCAAAAAGAGUAACAGAGCAAAGCAGAGAAGAAAAUGGAGGGGGGGGUACUAGCUAACUACUUUAAAAGGAAAGACAAACUUCUCUAAAGAGGCCUUUGGUCCUUAGGCACAACCUAUAUUUUUUACACGAAGAUAACAAUUGGAAUGGAUCAUGAAAUCUUCAUGUCAAAACUUCCUAAUUUAUAUGUUUUACUUAUAUUUAAUUAAGAAAAUACCAAGUUAAGCACGGCAUUGUUUUCGACCAGCUGUUUGUCAGUUCAUGUGGAGUCUGUAGCUUAUUGCAAAGGUCAAGCUAACAAAAUGGUCAGAUGAUCAACAUCUGCUGCUCUGAGAUGGCACAUCUUCAAGCAUUGGUCUCUGCUAUCUAUAGGAAG
rnacentral:lncRNA from 1 species